rnacentral:rRNA from 1 species
UACGUAUGGAGCGAGCGUUGUCCGGAAUUAUUGGGCGUAAAGGGUACGCAGGCGGUUUAAUAAGUCGAAUGUUAAAGAUCGGGGCUCAACCCCGUAAAGCAUUGGAAACUGAUAAACUUGAGUAGUGGAGAGGAAAGUGGAAUUCCUAGUGUAGUGGUGAAAUACGUAGAUAUUAGGAGGAAUACCAGUAGCGAAGGCGACUUUCUGGACACAAACUGACGCUGAGGUAC